GCCAGGCACAAAGCUCCUUCUUUGUCAUACUUCAGCUGUGCCUCUGGAACACCUGCAGAGAAAAGGGUCUCUGUAACAGACCUCACGGUAAUAACCACAUCCUGGGUCCACUUAUUGACAUCUGCAGGUUCAAAAAGUGAAGAGGCCAGGGGGUGGAUCCAAUUUUUUCCCCCCAGAGGACUGUGUCUGCCAUUUUAAAGACAAGCUAGCAAGGAGCUGAAAAGCCUUUCAAAAGAUUUUGUCAAAAGCCUUUCGUGUGAGGACUGAGCACAGAAUCAGCAAAAUUAGGUCUAAUGUGACAGGAGAACAACCAAUCCUAUUUAGUGUUCCUUGCCCAUCAGCCUACACUGCAAAUAGUAGUACACCUGGAGGCAUGAGCAGAUGCUGAAAGCGUAAAGGACACUAAAGGAGCUAAACCCAGAGGAUGAUGCUGACUGGAAAACCAACUGUCCCAUAAGGCCAGGGAUUGGAGGUUGCUCUGGGCGAUGGAGAAUGUUGAAUUGAAAUGUGAACUGGGGACUGUGUUUGGGAUUACCUCAUGAUGACAUUUGAAAUAACAAAAGGCAAUGUUAUUUGUACAGCCCCUAACACAAUGCGAUCCUGGUUCACGACUGGAGCUCCUAGGAGCUAUGCAAUAUAAAUAAUAUCUUACACUUCAUUGGGAAAGGACCCAAGCUACAUUACAAACUGUGGCUUUGAUUCAGCCAAGGGGAGGCAGCGACUUAAUGGAGGAUCUCCUCAAUAGAAAGCCUUCACCAGAACCAGGAAAUGCAGAA